AGUGAACGCUGGCGGUAGGCCUAACACAUGCAAGUCGAACGGCAGCACAGUAAGAGCUUGCUCUUACGGGUGGCGAGUGGCGGACGGGUGAGGAAUACAUCGGAAUCUACUUUUUCGUGGGGGAUAACGUAGGGAAACUAACGCUAAUACCGCAUACGACCUACGGGUGAAAGCAGGGGAUCUUCGGACCUUGCGCGAUUGAAUGAGCCGAUGUCGGAUUAGCUAGCUGGCGGGGUAAAGGCCCACCAAGGCGACGAUCCGUAGCUGGUCUGAGAGGAUGAUCAGCCACACUGGAACUGAGACACGGUCCAGACUCCUACGGGAGGCAGCAGUGGGGAAUAUUGGACAAUGGGCGCAAGCCUGAUCCAGCCAUACCGCGUGGGUGAAGAAGGCCUUCGGGUUGUAAAGCCCUUUUGUUGGGAAAGAAAAGCAGCAGGUUAAUACCCCGCUGUUCUGACGGUACCCAAAGAAUAAGCACCGGCUAACUUCGUG
rnacentral:rRNA from 1 species